rnacentral:lncRNA from 1 species
GUUUGGAUUGUAACACUUACUGAAACCCACCAAUAAUCGAACCGAGUGCAUGCAACGAACCACGUGACCGGAAGCUCAAAUGUUAAUCUCUUAAGAUUGACUUUCGAUUGCAGAUUAUAUCGAAAUUCUGAUUAAUUGAGGUCAAAAUAGUACCUCAUCUUUUUAUUAGCAUGCAAACAUCUGAAUAAAAGUCAACCUUGUGUGCAAAUGUACAACUAACGACAGACCGCCAGGUUUUUUAAACCGGUUUAUCCCAGAGACGUCACCGAACACAUGCAAAUUAGAGUCCUGGGUAACUACUGCCUGAUAGCAGGCUAACCCUUAACUACUGCCUGAUAGCAAGCUAACUACUGCUUGUUAUCAGACUAAUACUCUAACCUUGAGGCAGUCGUCUCGUUGCCGUCGUGCAGCUUUCGUUAUCAAGGUACAUUGGUAGGUUAACCGUCGUUCGCGAGGUACAUUUUAUCCACAAAUGUUCACAAUGAUCCUGAAGUGUUCGUUGUAAUCCAUCAAUGUUCAUAGUAAUCAAUUAAUGUUCGUAAUAAUCCAUUAAUGUUCACAGUAUCGAUCUCCAAUAGUAAACAGUAAUCCGUAUUUAUCCAUUGAUAUCCGCUACGACUCCCACGGGACCUCGCAUCUGACACCUCAAAU